rnacentral:rRNA from 1 species
GGUAUAGGUUUUCGGACCUAGAGACCGGCGCACGGGUGCGUAACGCGUAUGCAAUCUACCUUUUACAGCGGGAUAGCCCAGAGAAAUUUGGAUUAAUAUCGCAUAGUAUAGCAGUUUCGCAUGAAACCACUAUUAAAGUCACAACGGUAAAAGAUGAGCAUGCGUCCCAUUAGUUAGUUGGUAAGGUAACGGCUUACCAAGACUACGAUGGGUAGGGGUCCUGAGAGGGAGAUCCCCCACACUGGUACUGAGACACGGACCAGACUCCUACGGGAGGCAGCAGUGAGGAAUAUUGGACAAUGGGCGCAAGCCUGAUCCAGCCAUGCCGCGUGCAGGAUGACGGUCCUAUGGAUUGUAAACUGCUUUUAUACGAGAAGAAACACUACUUCGUGAAGUAGCUUGACGGUAUCGUAAGAAUAAGGAUCGGCUAACUCCGUGCCAGCAGCCGCGGUAAUACGGAGGAUCCAAGCGUUAUCCGGAAUCAUUGGGUUUAAAGGGUCCGUAGGCGGUUUAGUAAGUCAGUGGUGAAAGCCCAUCGCUCAACGGUGGAACGGCCAUUGAUACUGCUAGACUUGAAUUAUUAGGAAGUAACUAGAAUAUGUAGUGUAGCGGUGAAAUGCUUAGAGAUUACAUGGAAUACCAAUUGCGAAGGCAGGUUACUACUAAUGGAUUGACGCUGAUGGACGAAAGCGUGGGUAGCGAACAGGAUUAGAUACCCUGGUAGUCCACGCCGUAAACGAUGGAUACUAGCUGUUGGGCGCAAGUUCAGUGGCUAAGCGAAAGUGAUAAGUAUCCCACCUGGGGAGUACGUUCGCAAGAAUGAAACUCAAAGGAAUUGACGGGGGCCCGCACAAGCGGUGGAGCAUGUGGUUUAAUUCGAUGAUACGCGAGGAACCUUACCAAGGCUUAAAUGUAGAUUGACCGGUUUGGAAACAGACUUUUCGCAAGACAAUUUACAAGGUGCUGCAUGGUUGUCGUCAGCUCGUGCCGUGAGGUGUCAGGUUAAGUCCUAUAACGAGCGCAACCCCUGUUGUUAGUUGCCAGCGAGUCAUGUCGGGAACUCUAACAAGACUGCCAGUGCAAACUGUGAGGAAGGUGGGGAUGACGUCAAAUCAUCACGGCCCUUACGCCUUGGGC